UGUAUGUUACCUCAACACCAAAUACAUGACAUGUAUAUUCAGGGGUUCAUACCCUCAUCAUUAAAUUUAAAGUGUUACUUACCUCGAAUAAGCCAAAUUCAAUACCGAGCAAGCCAAUACAACAACAACAACAACAAUAUACUCGGUAAAAUCCCACUAGUUGGGUCUGGGAAAGAGUAGAGUGUACGCAGACCUUACCCCUAACCCGAAAAGGCCAGAGAGGCUGUUUUCGAGAGACUCCAGCUCAACAGGAGAGGAAAUACUAUCAAAAGUAAAAACGAGAAAAGACAUGUAGCAACAAAAGAUACCAGAAAGAAAAUAACCACAGCAAAUAAGUAAAAGAACAAUAACACAAAACUAUGCAAAACAACAAUGUGAAUAAAACAAAGAACGCUAAAAAACCUAAACGAAACUCUAUUAGACUACCCAAUACUAAGAGGGAAGAACUCUCGCCUAUCCCCUAGACUACCACCCUAAUACUCGACCUCUACAUGUUCCUAUCAAGAGCCAUAUCCUCAAAAAUCUGAAGCCUCUCCAUGUCCUACCUGAUCACCUCUCCCUAAUACUUCUUAGGCCGUCCUCUGGCUAUUCUCGUACCUGCCAAAGUCAACCGAUCACACCUCCUAAUUGGUGUAUCUAGGCUUCUCCUCCGCACGUGUCCGAACCAUAUAAGUUGCGCUUCCCACAUCUUGUCGUCCACGGGAGCUACGCCCACCUGCUCUUGAAUAUCUUCAUUCUGAAUCUUAUCCAUCCUAGUGUACCCACACAUCCAUAUUAACAUCCUCAUUUCUGCUACUUUCAUCUUCUGGAUAUGUGAAUGCUUGACUAGCCA
rnacentral:lncRNA from 1 species